AGGCUCACCAAUGCGAGGAUGACCCAUCACAUGAAAAUCAGGAAUAAGAUGACCUCAGAAAGACUUCUGAAUUCUAGAUAGACACAGGACCCCUGCUUCCCUGAAUAUCCAGGAAGAUCCAAGGCAAGAAAGAACCGAGGAUGACUCAGCCUGGGAUGAAACUGUUGGAGUCUGGUUAGACGUGAGAACUGGAAUAUUUCC
rnacentral:lncRNA from 1 species